rnacentral:rRNA from 1 species
GAUGAACGCUGGCGGCGUGCCUAAUACAUGCAAGUCGAGCGAACGGACGAGAAGCUUGCUUUUCUGAUGUUAGCGGCGGACGGGUGAGUAACACGUGGAUAACCUACCUAUAAGACUGGGAUAACUUCGGGAAACCGGAGCUAAUACCGGAUAAUAUUUUGAACCGCAUGGUUCAAAAGUGAAAGACGGUCUUGCUGUCACUUAUAGAUGGAUCCGCGCUGCAUUAGCUAGUUGGUAAGGUAACGGCUUACCAAGGCAACGAUGCAUAGCCGACCUGAGAGGGUGAUCGGCCACCCUGGAACUGAGACACGGUCCAGACUCCUACGGGAGGCAGCAGUAGGGAAUCUUCCGCAAUGGGCGAAAGCCUGACGGAGCAACGCCGCGUGAGUGAUGAAGGUCUUCGGAUCGUAAAACUCUGUUAUUAGGGAAGAACAUAUGUGUAAGUAACUGUGCACAUCUUGACGGUACCUAAUCAGAAAGCCACGGCUAACUACGU